AGCGAACGCUGGCGGCAGGCCUAGCACAUGCAAGUCGAGCGGCCGUAGCAAUACGGCAGCGGCAGACGGGAGAGUAACACGUGGGAACGCGCCCUUCGGUUCGGAAUAACUCAGGGAAACUUGAGCUAAUACCGGAUACGCCCUUACGGGGAAAGAUUAAUUGCCGAAGGAACGGCCCGCGUCCGAUUAGCUUGUUGGUGAGGUAACGGCUCACCAAGGCGACGAUCGGUAGCUGGUCUGAGAGGAUGACCAGCCUCACUGGGACUGAGACACGGCCCAGACUCCUACGGGAGGCAGCAGUGGGGAAUAUUGGACAAUGGGCGCAAGCCUGAUCCAGCCAUGCCGCGUGGGUGAUGAAGGCCCUAGGGUUGUAAAGCCCUUUCAGCGGGGAAGAUAAUAACGGUACCCGCAGAAGAAGCCCCGGCUAACAUCGUGCCAGCCGCCGCGGUAACAC
rnacentral:rRNA from 1 species